rnacentral:rRNA from 1 species
UACGUAGGGUGCGAGCGUUAAUCGGAAUUACUGGGCGUAAAGCGUGCGCAGGCGGUUCGUUGUGUCGGCGGGGAAAGCCCCGGGCUUAACCUGGGAAUGGCCGUCGAAACUGGCGAACUGGAGUGUGGCAGAGGGGGGUGGAAUUCCGCGUGUAGCAGUGAAAUGCGUAGAGAUGCGGAGGAACACCGAUGGCGAAGGCGGCCAACUGGACGAAUACUGACGCUGAGACUCGAAAGCGUGGGGAGCAAACAGG